CGCACGUCCCCGCCGGGGCUUCGGGAGGGGUGCGGGCGGGGAGCGCGACCCCCUGGCCAAGGUCUACCGGCAGGACGUCUCCCGUCGCCCCCAUGGGAGAGGGUCCCCGCGGCCUCCAGGCUGCGCCCACGUGCGCGCAGGGUCGUCCGUCGCCCCGAGCGCCCGCUCUCCGGCCCGGGCGUGGGAGGCGCCUAGGAAGAGAGCCGAUCUGGAGUAGGCACCCGGCGGCCGGGAGGCUGGAAGGCGUCUGCCCCCAAGAGCUCCCUGGCCGUGCGCGCCGCGUCAGCCCCCUUGGCAGAGCCGCGCGCCGAUGAGUGUGGCCACGCUAGGAGAACGCAGCACUGGAGCUGGCCCCAGGCGGGCAGUGGCCUCGGGCGAGGGCAGAAGGGCACUCCGGGCAGUGAAUAGAACACUUGCUUAUCCCUUCAGAGGACAAGCCGGUGGCAGGCCUGGAGCCCCCAGUGACGGGGUGAGCAGUGGGCAGUGAGGCAGAGGGGUCCUUAAAGGGUAGUUGACAUCUUCAGUGUCAGCUUCUAGCGUGACCUCACAGCCCCCAGCAUCCCCGGAAUGCCCCCCACGGUCUAUCUGCUCCAAUAGACUGAAAAUUCCCUAAAUGGAAGGCACCCUUGAGGCCGCUAUCAAUAUGGUACCUGUACAGAGUGGGUGUUAGGUAAAUACUUGAUGAACGAAUGACAAGUGAUGGGAGACUUGAAGGACAAACUUCCAGGGACAGAAAGGACGGUGCUGGGUUUUUUCUUUUGAGUUUUGGAAAGCCUUGGGCAGUGGUACUGGAUUAGGACCGGGCUGGAGACCAGCUUCCAGGCUAAUCUCUGCGGACCUGGUGAACUUCCACUACUCUGUUCUAGCCUCCAGAAAGUUGCAUUUGCUUCCCUUCCUCACACUUCCUUCACCAGGUUCCUGGUAUACAUCCUUCAUAUUUCAGCAUGGGCGUUGCCAGCAGAAAAGCCCUCAGGCUUCCCAAGAUGAAUCAUAAAGCCCUGAGGUGUUCCCUCCCAGGACUCUGCGUUCCCUUUCUUGCGUGUACCACUGUACUGUAGAAUGGGUUGUUCAUUUGCAAAAUGCCCUCAUUAAGACGGUAAGCUCUUUGAAGCUGGGGAUAGGGGUCUUAUCCAAGUCAUGGCGUAUUCGUGGCCCAUAAUCAAUAUGAAAUGAAUGAACAGAUUCAUUUAGGAAAUAGAACCCACAAAACUCGGUGGCCAGUUGGAGAGGAAGGAAGGCCAAUUGGAAGGAGAGGGAAGGAGGAAUCUUGGGAGACUUCCAGGUUUUCUGGCUCAAGGAAUUGGGUCACCUAGGGGUCACUGAUCUACAGGAAUUCCUUCUCUUAGCAAGGAACUCCUUGAGAUCUCCUCCAUAUCUCCAGGACCUUGUACAGUUCAAGAUACAUAAUAAUUUCUUGAGGGGGAAAAAAAAGCUUGUUAAAUAAAAUAAUUAGCAAAUACUCAGCCUUCAAAGUCCCCAGAGACUGGUUCUUGGUGCAUCCUAAUUACUGCAAAAUUGCUUGUCGAAUGAAAAAAAUAAAUCAGUGGAUCUUCAGGCUUCAAAUAUCAUCUCAAUCUCAUUUUAGUUUAA